rnacentral:misc_RNA from 1 species
GAUGAAGAACGCAGCGAAAUGCGAUAAGUAAUGUGAAUUGCAGAAUUCCGUGAAUCAUCGAAUCUUUGAACGCACAUUGCGCCCGCCAGUAUUCUGGCGGGUAUGCCUGUUCGAGCGUCAUUUCACCACUCAAGCCUCGCUUGGUAUUGGGCAACGCGGUCCGCCGCGUGCCUCAAAUCGACCGGCUGGGUCUUCUGUCCCCUAAGCGUUGUGGAAACUAUUCGCUAAAGGGUGUUCGGGAGGCUACGCCGUAAAACAACCCCAUUUCUAAGGUUGACCUCGGAUCAGGUAGGGAUACCCGCUGAACUUAAGCAUAUCAAUAAGCGGAGGA